rnacentral:rRNA from 1 species
UACAGAGGUCCCAAGCGUUGUUCGGAUUCACUGGGCGUAAAGGGUGCGUAGGUGGUCAGGUAAGUCUGAUGUGAAAUCUCUGGGCUCAACCCAGAAACUGCAUUGGAUACUAUCUGGCUAGAGGAGUGGAGGGGGGACUGGAAUACUUGGUGUAGCAGUGAAAUGCGUAGAUAUCAAGUGGAACACCAGUGGCGAAGGCGGAUCUCUGGUCUGUAACUGACACUGAGGCGCGAAAGCGUGGGGAGCAAACAGG